UACGGAGGGGACUAGCGUUGUUCGGAAUUACUGGGCGUAAAGCGCACGUAGGCGGAUUUGUAAGUCAGGGGUGAAAUCCCGGGGCUCAACCUCGGAACUGCCUUUGAUACUGCAAAUCUCGAGUCCGGAAGAGGUGAGUGGAAUUCCUAGUGUAGAGGUGAAAUUCGUAGAUAUUAGGAAGAACAUCAGUGGCGAAGGCGACUUUCUGGACAGAGACUGACACUGAGGCACGAAAGCAUGGGGAGCAAACAGG
rnacentral:rRNA from 1 species